rnacentral:lncRNA from 1 species
CAGCAGCCUGCUGGAAGAAUGUGUUUAGGCUGAGGAAGAUAAAGGUAUAACCUCAGGAGAGGUUAGAAAAUGGGAAUGGCUUUUCUUUUUGAUAUGAGUGCCCUUUGGAGAGAGUAUGCCGCAGUCCCCAGCAUUCCCUAUUGUACCUCUUCCAGCUCUACCAUGGCUUUACCUUAUCUGCCUGCUCAGCGUUCCCGUUUGAGUGUGUAACUUCUUUCCGAGUUCAGCCAUUCCAACCCUGUUCUAAUCUCAAUGAUAUAUUGCACCUACAAGGAAGUGGUUUAUUUCUUGGUUAAAAAACUCCAGUUUGGAGAGACUUCAUGCAUACUUUACGAGCUGAGUCUGCAAUAAUACACUGCGGAUAUUCCUGGAGUGAACGGCAAAGGUAAUUGCUCUGCACUCUGAUGAGACAGCCUGGGAAGAGCUCUCCCAUCUAUGAUCGAUUGAGGCCCCAUAAACAAGAAAACGAGAAAGAAAAAUUGUUUGAUACUUCACAUAUGC